AUUUGUACCUAAUACAACAUUUGUAUAACAUGUCGAAAGUUGUAUUAUGUACAUGAGU
rnacentral:pre_miRNA from 1 species